UAACUUGUCGGAUCGCACGGCCUCGCGCCGGCGACUCCUCAUUCAAAUUUCUGCCCUAUCAACUUUCGAUGGUAGAGUAUUGGUCUACCAUGGUGUCGACGGGUAACGGGGAAUUAGGGUUCGAUUCCGGAGAGGGAUCUUGAGAAACGGCUACCACAUCCAAGGAAGGCAGCAGCCGCGGUAAUUACCUAUUGUUAUUCGGGGACGAGGACCUAUGGUAAUAACAAUAGGUUGCCCUUUGAGGCUUCUGCCUUCCUUGAGAGCAAGUUGCUUCCGUAAUCCUGGGUUCAGUGGGAAACCAAAUUGAUAAUCCAUCCCGACUCGGGGGGGGUGUGCCAAAAAAAAACAAAAGGUAGGGUUUGAUGGGAGCAGAACCUGGUUGAUCCUGCCAGAGUCAUAUGCUUGUUUCCGACAAGUUAUUGUGAAUCAUCGAUGUCUAAGUACAAGCCUCAUUAAGGGUGAAACCCAUUACACAGGCGAAUGGCUCAUUAAAUCACACCUAAUAAAAAAAAAAAAAAAAUAGAAGCCCUGUCAACCUGAUUGUCCUGCCCGUAGUCAUGAACAUAUAACUGUUUUAAUGAGCCAUCAUGCAUGUUUAAGUAUAAACACUUUUAUACGAAACUGCGAAUGGCUCAUUAAACCCGAGACAAGCAAUAGUUCGUGUGAGGAAUAUAUCACCUUUUGUUAGGACCCCGUGAAUACUGGAGCUUACAUGCCUUAACGCCCGACUCACGAAGGGUGGUGAUUUAUUGGAAAAAAACCAUCGCACUCCUGGAGGACCUUGCUUUGAGAUGAUUCACAAUAACUUGUCGGAUCGCACUUUGGCCUCCCGCCGGCGACUGCUCAUUACAAAUUUCUGCCCUAUCAGGACUUUCGAUGGUGGACGUAUUGGUCUACCAGAGGUGGUGUCGACGGGUAAGGGGAAUGGGGUCGAUCCCGAGAGGGGCUGAGAAACGGCUACCCCAUCCAAGGAAGGCAGCGAGGCGCGCAAAUUACCCAAUCCGGACUCAGGGAGGUAGUGACAAAAAAUAACAAUAGGGGGCCCUUUGGGUCUUCUAAUUGGAAUGAAAACAAUUUAAAUCCGUUAUCGAGGAUCCAUUGGGGUUAGGGCAAGUCUGGUGCCAGGUAUUGGUGCCAUACAGUUUCAAAGCAUAGUGCUGAAAAGGGUAAAACUUCAACUUUACACUGGCCGAUUAUGAGAUUAUUAAAGCUGCAAUUACCGGAGCUCACCCUGCGGACCUGCAUCUGAUCGAUUACUCUCUGGCUAGUGGACCAUAGCGGUGCUCCGCCGGCGGUAUCUGCCGGACGGAGAUCCACAAGACCCGUAUGCGCUGGGUGAUAUCUGAGGGGUCUCUGAUUUGCGUCACCCGUUGCGAAGAUCCCUUAUGUUGCGAACCGCCUCCUUGAUACAACUGUGAUCCCCCGCAAGAGAUGUGUCAAAAAAAAAAAAACUCGAGGGGGCCCGCCCGCUCCAUUUUUUCAAUAUUUAGCCUUCUCUUGCCCUAUUUGUGAUGGAGAGCCCUGGGGUACCCCCAGCAGUGUGACUUAGGGUUUGAACUAGUCUGGGGGCGUAUAUGGCAAAAAAUCUUAUCUAUACAAGCAUACACUGCUGACUUGCGGAACUCUUGUAUUCGCCCACUUUAUCUACAGAUUGGGGGUGCGGACCCUUCGCCGGCCUCAUGCCAGCCUUGUAGAUUGUGGGGUCCGAAUGCCCCCGCCCUUUGAAGCUCCCUGAAUGCUCCAUCAACUACCCCCAAUACACGCGG
rnacentral:rRNA from 1 species